AAAAAAUGCUGCAGAUCUUCUAUAUAAGUCCUGAACCCUGGGCCUGAAUGAUGCUUGGGAUUUUCGGGGGAGGGUGAGCUGAGGCAGAGGAUAGAAGGAGCCUGAGGGGGCGCGAAGAGAAAGAGAGAAAGAGAGAGAGAGAGAUCAAAUCAAACCCAUAGACGGCGGUGAACUGAUCGACUCUGACAUCACGCGUAUGACCUUCUCCUUCGUCUGUUUCUCCUACACACUGUGAAUAUCAGGUCAUCCGUCAUGUCGGACGGCCCGUCCUUCCUCCACCAUGAGGCUAAUGCCCAGGCUGGAAAAAAACGAUGGGCUUAUCGUCCACACACACACACACACACACACACACACACACACACACACACACACACACACACACACAGAUGGCAGCUGAACACAAACCAACAUGCUCUGUUACUCAAGCUCAGUCAUUUUCUGCUUUGUUUUUACAUUUGCAUGGCUGGUUUUUACAUCACUUCCUGUUUAUUUAGUGUGUUGCCUGGUUAACUCGGUACUUUCCUUCGCUUUCUCAGUAUCAUUCUCUCCCACAGCUAAAUACUGGCUGGUUCGGUUCAGUUACCCCACAGUCGUAUCAUUUGUUGGUCUGGUUUGCUCUUGUUUUAUUUUAAUACUUUACUUUCCUCGC